AUUGAACGCUGGCGGCAUGCUUUACACAUGCAAGUCGAACGGUAACAGGCCGCAAGGUGCUGACGAGUGGCGAACGGGUGAGUAAUGCAUCGGAACGUGCCCAGUCGUGGGGGAUAACGCAGCGAAAGCUGUGCUAAUACCGCAUACGAUCUAUGGAUGAAAGCGGGGGACCGUAAGGCCUCGCGCGAUUGGGGCGGCCGAUGUCAGAUUAGGUAGUUGGUGGGGUAAAGGCCUACCAAGCCGACGAUCUGUAGCUGGUCUGAGAGGACGACCAGCCACACUGGGACGGAGACACGGCCCAGACUCCUACGGGAGGCAGCAGUGGGGAAUUUUGGACAAUGGGCGCAAGCCUGAUCCAGCAAUGCCGCGUGCAGGAAGAAGGCCUUCGGGUUGUAAACUGCUUUUGUACGGAACGAAACGGUCUGGGUUAAUACCCUGGGCUAAUGACGGUACCGUAAGAAUAAGCACCGGCUAACUACGUGCCAGCAGCCGCGGUAAGAC
rnacentral:rRNA from 1 species